GCUCUGCUUUACCUCACGGAGCAGUUGAUCCUUUCAGCUUGGCUAGUAGAGCAGCAUGGUGGCAGCAUUUUUAUUCCUGUCUGCUAACAGAGACGUCAGGCACAGGGGAGAGGUGAUUUGAAGACAUCGGCCUGCAUCAGGAGCCAGGCCCAGAAAAGAAGACUGUCCGUGCACUAGUCUUUGCUGUGUCUGCUAAAGCAGAUUCAUGUCUCACAUCCAUUCAUACAGGGUUACUUAAGGACUGUUUGAGCCUCAAGAAUAUAGAGGCCCAUCUAUCUUUGCAGUAAAACAAACAAAAAUAAAUAAAUAAAUAAACUGGGAUAUCUUUAAGAAAAAAAAAUGUUCCCAAACAAACCUCCUAGGAUCCUCAGAGCAUUCAGGACGAAGUCCCUUUGGAUCACCUCACAAGGGCGUCCAGUCCAGCUCUGGUGCCUCCUGCCUUCUCCAGGUUCUCACUUCUUGCUGGACUCCUUAGCAGCAGCCAUUUUAUUGACAGAGAAGAGAGCAACUUCCGGUCACCUCAAACUCCAGCCACAGCAGUAACCUCAGCUAUCCAGAAGGGAUGGGGAGUAGCAGAACCUCAGCUAUCCAGAAGGGAUGGGGAGUAGCAGAACCAGGCCAAAGAAAGUCACUGUGCUCUGACUUCCUUAUUCUGUCCUGGUCUUUUUGACAAUUUUUGUCUGAUUGAAAUGCCUAUACUCCUUUCAUCAAACUAUUUCCUAAUUGUCUUUCAAACCUCCACUAAAGCAUCUCUACCUUUUUCCUUUUAACUUUUUAUUGGUUCUUUCUGAAUUUCACAUCGUGUGCCCCAAUCCCACUCAUCUUCCCCUUCCCUCGUACCUGCCCUCUACCCGUGUAACCUUCCCCAAAAGAGAGAAAAAAGUUCUCCUUGUGGACGCUGUAGUGUGUCACAGAGUAUACACCCUUUGUCCACACUUCUUUUCAUUGCAGUGAGUAGGCUUCUGCUACUCUGUGUUGAUCCUGGAACCUCACUGGGAAUCCUCUCAGAUACCCUGUUGAUGCCCUGUGUCAUGGAGAUCCUCUACUUCUGGAUCUGUAGGACCGGCCCCUCAUGCACUACAGCAGUUCAUCAAAGGGAUAGAUGUUGGGGUGGGCCAAUUCAGAGCUCUGGAUCUGGGCCUGAGAGUUUUCUGAGUUUUCUGUCAGCCUAAUAGCUUGCUCAAACCCCACUGCAUGGGGGCAAGUUCUGCUCUCAUGCCUGGGCAGGAGGAGGGCAGUGGGGAAGAGUUGGGCUAGUAUCCAUGCCUAUAGUGGGGGUGAUAUCCAUACCCAUGCUACCAGGGCCAGUUCUAUUGUGCCUCUAGGUGAGGAACAGGACUUGCUCUCCCGGCAUCUCGGCUUUCUUUCCCUAAGUCCUACUCUCCCCUUGUUGCCUCUGCCUGCAUUAUAUGCUUUGUUUCCCCAGCAUUUAGUGUUCUCCUUUAGAGAUGGAAUUAUACUUCUGUAUUCCAGCAUGAAAUCUUACAGAGAGAUGGGAGACCCUAAAGAUUCUGAAUAAGUUCACUAAACUCAAGCCACCUGCGUCUAUAAGCAUCCCUGAGGUCCAGCCCUGGCAAAUGUGAUUAUGUCCCAGUCUCAGACAGUGGCCAUUUUGUUUACUCUUUCUAGAAGCUACAUGUAAUAAAUACAGGCAAGGGGCUAUCAUAAGAAGCAAAGGAGUCUCGAGCUGGUAAGCCAUGAGAAUAGAAAGAUAAUGACUAACCAAGCCUUUGGAAUCCGACAGUCUUUUCAGAGUAGCAGCCUGGCUUAUUCUUGUCCUAGCUCACUACAUCUCAACAUUAAAAGAGUCCUCAGAGAUUGUCCAUGAAAUUCCAAGAGCUCCUUAGAGGUAGGCAUACUAAGUGUCUGGUCCUUAUCCCAACUCACG
rnacentral:lncRNA from 1 species